GUUGACCUUCUAUUUUUAUUUUCGGUUGUUUUAUUUUUAUUUGUUAGACUUCUUUAGUUUAUUUUUAUUUUGAACAAUGUUUUUAUUUUUCUUAUUUUGAUGGUUGUUUUUAUUCAAGUUUAUAACCUCUAAAUCUUCUUAUUUAUUUGUGUUUAUCCUCUUAUUAGUUUGCUUACCAACCUGCAGUACAUUUAGACUUGCCUACAAUUUCAUUUUUCUUUAUUCAGGUGAUUUCAU
rnacentral:lncRNA from 1 species